UACGUAGGUGGCAAGCGCUGUCCGGAAUUACUGGGUGUAAAGGGAGCGCAGGCGGGAAGCCAAGUCAGCUGUGAAAACUACGGGCUUAACUUGUAGACUGCAGUUGAAACUGGUUUUCUUGAGUGAAGUAGAGGUUGGCGGAAUUCCGAGUGUAGCGGUGAAAUGCGUAGAUAUUCGGAGGAACACCGGUGGCGAAGGCGGCCAACUGGGCUUUAACUGACGCUGAGGCUCGAAAGUGUGGGGAGCAAACAGG
rnacentral:rRNA from 1 species